rnacentral:rRNA from 1 species
UACGGAGGGUGCGAGCGUUAUUCGGAAUUACUGGGCGUAAAGCGCACGCAGGCGGUUGCCCAAGUCAGAUGUGAAAGCCCCGGGCUUAACCUGGGAACUGCAUUUGAAACUGGGCGACUAGAGUAUGAAAGAGGAAAGCGGAAUUUCCAGUGUAGCAGUGAAAUGCGUAGAUAUUGGAAGGAACACCGAUGGCGAAGGCAGCUUUCUGGGUCGAUACUGACGCUCAUGUGCGAAAGCGUGGGGAGCAAAC